rnacentral:rRNA from 1 species
CUACGGGGGGCUCCAGUGAGGAAUUUUGCGCAAUGGGGGCAACCCUGACGCAGCAACGCCGCGUGAGUGAAGAAGGCCUUUGGGUCGUAAAGCUCUGUCGACAGGGAAGAAGUUAUUGUUGUUUAACAGAUGACAGUAUUGACGGUACCUGUAGAGGAAGCACCGGCUAACUCCGUGGCCAGCAGCCGCGGUAAUACGGGGGGUGCAAGCGUUAUUCGGAAUUAUUGGGCGUAAAGGGCGCGUAGGCGGUCUUGUCGGUCAGAUGUGAAAGCCCAGGGCUCAACACUGGACGUGCAUUUGAAACAGCAAGACUUGAGUACGGGAGAGGAAAGCGGAAUUCCUGGUGUAGAGGUGACAUUCGUAGAUAUCAGGAGGAACACCGAUGGCGAAGGCAGCUUUCUGGACCGAUACUGACGCUGAGGCGCGAAGGUGUGGGUAGCGAACGGGAUUAGAUACCCUGGUAGUC